rnacentral:rRNA from 1 species
AUGUUGAGCCAAUUCAACCAUGUCAAAUGCAGUUUUGCGUGGAAGGGAGCUGGCAUAUUUGUAAUUGAUGUGUAUGAUGGCAUGUCUUUUGAAUGCAAGCUUCGUCUCGAUAGGAGAUCCUCCAGCUUCAGUGUGUUGAAGUCUGACGGAUCGGAGAAUCAGAUGGUAGUCGCUGGAGAGGCAAGGAACUCUCAUGCUUGCGGCGAUGCACCUGGUGGGCAUUCCUUGCAUUUUCCCCGUUGGAUCACACGGGUACAUGUAUUUAAUUAUAGCAAAGUCACCAUGUCUUUAUCAUGCCAGUAUGCCAAUGUGCCCAGAAAUUAG